rnacentral:rRNA from 1 species
AGAAUCAACGCUGGCGGCGUGCCUAACACAUGCAAGUCGCACGAGAAAGGGACUUCGGUCCUGAGUACAGUGGCGCACGGGUGAGUAACACGUGAAUCAUCUACCUCCGAGUGGGGAAUAACUGAGAGAAAUCUUAGCUAAUACCGCAUAACACUUACGAGUCAAAGCAGCAAUGCGCUUGGAGAGGAGUUCGCGGCAGAUUAGUUAGUUGGCGGGGUAAUGGCCCACCAAGACGAUGAUCUGU